rnacentral:lncRNA from 1 species
AUGGAGCUGCACCCUACCCUCUCCCCUCCCUCAACACACCCCCUCCCAUUAAUUAACUAUGUUCAGGAACCAGGCAAAAGCUUGGGUUUUGAUUGGCUUAAUAAUAAAGCACAAAGCAACCACGUCUCCCUGUGUAUUACUCUGAAUCACAGCAUCACCACUUCACAGGGCCCUCCUUCAUUGUGUGUGUUUGCUCCCAAGUCAAUGGCACUUUCUCUUGCAGAGCUGUUUUUCCCGAGGGUGAAUCCCUGGAUGGUGGCUCUGGGUGUGAUCCUGUCUCUCCUGGCUGUUCUUAUUGGCCUGGCCAGUUACAGCUUCUGGAGGCAAGACAGAGCAAAAGAGAAACUGCAGGGUGAACUCAGUAAGUUGCCUUUUAUUCCUAACAUAAAGCUUUCUACAAAGUUGUAUCGUAUUUGGAGUGUCUGUGUUCAGGAGAGGUCUCAUCUCUCUGUCUGUGUUUGGUUUCAGAGUGGAGAAUAGCCCUACCAAAUGCAGGUAAAUAAAUUUGUGUUUUUGCUAAUAGAUAGUUAUCA